UGGGGAAUUUUGGACAAUGGGCGAAAGCCUGAUCCAGCAAUGCCGCGUGUGUGAAGAAGGCCUUCGGGUUGUAAAGCACUUUUGUCCGGAAAGAAAUCCUUGGCUCUAAUACAGUCGGGGGAUGACGGUACCGGAAGAAUAAGCACCGGCUAACUACGUGCCAGCAGCCGCGGUAAUACGUAGGGUGCAAGCGUUAAUCGGAAUUACUGGGCGUAAAGCGUGCGCAGGCGGUUUGCUAAGACCGAUGUGAAAUCCCCGGGCUCAACCUGGGAACUGCAUUGGUGACUGGCAGGCUAGAGUAUGGCAGAGGGGGGUAGAAUUCCACGUGUAGCAGUGAAAUGCGUAGAGAUGUGGAGGAAUACCGAUGGCGAAGGCAGCCCCCUGGGCCAAAUACUGACGCUCAUGCACGAAAAGCGUGGGGGAGCAAAACAGGAUUAGAUACCCUGGUAGUCCACGCCCUAAAACGAUGUCAACUAGUUGUUGGGGAUUCAUUUCCUUAGUAACGUAGCUAACGCGUGAAGUUGACCGCCUGGGGAGUACGGUCGCAAGAUUAAAACUCAAA
rnacentral:rRNA from 1 species